GUCAGAGGAGAAGGUAGGUGUGUCAGAUGGGGCACGGGUGGUUUUUGGGGCGCCAAGCUGUCCGCAGGAGCCCGAUGGGGCUGGGGAUACUGACUGCAUCCCGCACCCGGGACCUCCCCCACCCAAAGCCCCAGGGGAUGCUCACAGCUCAAGUCGAGCUGGUAUUGGGGGGUGUGUGUGUGUCCCCCCAAAAAAAGAAGCGGGGGAGAUGCCUGGGGAAGGUCUCCAGCCCAGUUUGGGAAGGACAUUUUGGACCAUCCAGGGUGCUCCAAGCACAGGUCUGGGGAGGGGGACGCUGCUCUGAUGCCAGCUGCCCCAUGGAGGGGAGCAGAAGGGAUGGGGCUGAUGUAAAAGGGUCCAGCGUGAUAGGUGGGGAGGGUGUUGGGGUCCCUGGACCCACAGAAGCCCCCCCCCCCGUCACCUCUUUGCACCCUAUUAGGGCAGAGGGAGUGAAAAGCAGACAGGGUCCCCCCUAGGGAUGCGAGGCGGGGGGCCCGGGCCCCGCGCAGUUCCUGGUACAGCCCCUGCCUUCUGCGUACCCAGCUAAAUUUAGCACCCUCCCCCCGCCACCACUGCUCAGCCGGUGCCGGAUCUGGCCCUUCUUGAAGCCAAUCUCACCAUCAGAGGAAAAUCCGGUGGGGGGGGGGGGACACAGCCCCACACUGGGGCUGGUGGCACCAGGGACCCCAAUUCAGCAAAGCACUUGCUACACUCAGUAUGGGGGGGGUGGUGCUAAAGCCCCCCAGAGGUGAUGUGGGGGGGGAAGGACUUCACCCCAGCGGUGCAAAAUUGGGUGGGCACCUGCCCUAAUGCCCUUUCCCCCUUUUUUUAUCUCUGGGGGUGGGGGCACUGGCAGGGAGCAGGGAUGUGCCAUGGGCUACUCUGAACACACAUGACAGGGGGGUGGUUAGAAAUAGCAGCAGUGGGGGGAAACGGUCUGGGGGCGCACAUCCCCCCCACUAGACCCCCAGAGCAAAAUUCCCCUGAGGCUGCACGGGGAGGGGGGGUAGGUGUAUGGGGUGCAUGCGUGGAGGGGCUUCACCCCACCGGGUUAAAUCCAUCGCGGAUCCCUGUCGCCCUCGGAGCCGCAGCUCCCGCGGGAUGCGGGGCACAGCCGCGCCGCUCGGGGGGAUGCCGGGGCAGCAUCUGCUGCCUCCAGCAACGGGGGUUCGGGGAGUCGCUUCUGGUGGGGGACAGCUCCUGCACCUCCCCCUGCCCGGGGGGUUAUCCCAGGAUUUGCCCUAGCCGGUGCUCAGCAGCCCCGGCUGCUCCCCAGCGCACACAAGUGUCCGAAUCCUUCUUACAGAUUCCUCCUCACCCCCAUCCCAGCGACUGCUGGGAGCAGAGGAGCAGCCGGGCACACUGCAGGUGCCCCCCGCUCCCCACUGCUGCAGCCGGGGGGGGGUCCCAGCCCGGCCUAUUCGAAGGUGGGGUGCUCCUCCAGCCUUGGGGAAACCCGUGCUGGCAGCAGGAUGGAUGAGCUCCCAUCAGCGUGCAGAGCUGGUGCACCCCAAAAAUGCAGUUACAGGCAGGCUGGCACUGAAAGGGCUCGUGGCAAGUGGGGACGUUCCUCCUUCACCACACACAGACUUUGGGAGAGCUCAUUUCAGAGAUCACCUCAAAACAGUGGAGCUGCUCGGUUGUCAGAGGGUCAGUCCCACCGUGAGCUGCUGCACCGACACACCAAACAGCUCUGGUGAGUCCCUUCCCCACAGCCCAGACCCACGGGGGUUUUGCCGGGUGUGGGGAGCCUCCCCUCUGGGGGGGGGGGGGGGAGGUGACGUGCCACCCCACGCCAUAACACUGCUGCACUCACAGCUUUGUUCUCUGCCGCUUGAAAAAGAAAUAAAAAAGGCGACUGUGAAGCC